rnacentral:piRNA from 1 species
UAGAUGGACAUAGUUCUCUUUUUUAUUAACC